GUGCUAAGAACACUGGACCCGCAAAAGGCUGUCCCUCCCAAACCUGGGAUUCUGGGCUCACUGAGUUCACCUGCGAGUCAGCCCUACCUGCACUGCUCUGGUCUAGUACAAACAGGCUGCUGGCAUUGAGGUCUGCUACAAUGCUGCUGCUGCACAGAGCUGUGGUCCUCAGGCUCAAACAGGCCUGCAGCCCCAGCGCCCCAGCCUCACCUUCUCUGGUGAUAACUCCAGCACCCAGGGAUGGAGAGUCAUGGGGACCCUAUUAGGUCUCGGUGCAGUGUUGGCCUAUCAGGACCAUCGGUGUAGGGCUGCUCAGGAGUCAACACACAUAUACACUAAGGAGGAAGUGAGUUCCCACACCAGCCCUGAGACUGGGAUCUGGGUGACUCUGGGCUCUGAGGUCUUUGAUGUCACAGAAUUUGUGGACUUACAUCCAGGGGGCCCUUCAAAGCUGAUGCUAGCAGCUGGGGGUCCCCUAGAGCCCUUCUGGGCCCUCUAUGCUGUUCACAACCAGUCCCAUGUGCGUGAGUUACUGGCUCAGUACAAGAUUGGGGAGCUGAACCCUGAAGACAAGGUAGCCCCCACCGUAGAGACCUCUGACCCUUAUGCUGAU
rnacentral:sRNA from 1 species